GCUGCAGGAUUGGGGUUUCCGUGUUAAAAAGUCGGGUUUUGAAGCUUGUAGAGAAAUUGUGUCUUCGCAUUUAGACAAUUCGAAUCUUGAAUUAUGAUUCUCAUCAUUGUUUAGAUUUGAAUUUCUCUCUUACCACUAUCAUCCAAAAGAUUUUUUGUUAUGUCCAGCUCUAUUCGCUUUUCAACGUGAAUCAACUCAGACUUUCUCCUUGGUGCCAUGAGCAUAUAUUGUGAAUAAUAGUAAGGCUAUUUUGUUUUCUUUGUCUGGCUGCAGGCUGAAAUGCAGAAAUUGAGGGUUGAAAUGGCUUCCAUGAAGAGGGAUGCUGAGCAUUAUUCACGCCAACUAGUUGUAUGCCAGCUGCCAAGUUAAUGCGAGGUCUGAUUUGGUGAGAAAUGGCUGGUUGGUGUUGGAGAAGCUUCUUUCAUAAGUCUUGCAGGUCCAUUUAUUGACGACAAUGCUCCCAUUUCUCAGAGAACUGCCUGGCUUGCAACAUUUUAUAUGUGCAUACCCACUGGAAUUGCUGUUGGAUAUGUUUAUGGUGGACUGGUUGGGGAACAUCUUAACUGGAGCUAUGCAUUCUGGGGAGAGGCACUGUUAAUGUUACCAUUUGCUGUUUUUGGCUUUGUAGUGAAACCAUUGCAGUUGAAAGGUUUUUCUUGUGUUGAAUCAAAAAAAAGAAUCAACACCUGUGGAGACAAUUUCUGCUGUAACUGAUGCCUGUAUAUGUCAAGGAUGAUUUUUCAAGGGUGAGCGACGAAUAUCGAAAUGGAGUCGAAACUAAAGCAAGGGAAGCAAAGAGAGAAGCAACUUAUCAAAAAAAAUGCGAAGACUUUCAAAAUCAACUUCAAGCUAUGAUGCAGAUGAUACGACAAAAUCAACU